GAGAAGGAUAAUCCUGUUAGCAAACGAAUCACUGUGCCCAGAAACCACACAGGGAGAGUGUCUAGGGAUGUCACGCGUCUCUGCUACCAGGGAGGAACCUGCCGUGGCAGCAAGCUCAACAUUUAAGAACAGCAAGAGGGGACGUUAUCAGACAGCAGGAUGGUAGUCCAUUACACAUAAUCAGCCAAGGCCGUUGAAGAGAGUUUGCUGACGAGAAGAGUGCAGAGAGCAGGGCUUGACUGCAGAGUUCUGGCUCCAGUGCCAUCACAACAGCAAGAGAUGCCUUGCAACAGGUACCCCCGCCACACCUCCAGCACACACGCACUGUUGGGAGGGAAGAACUAGGCAGUUACACCAGCAAAUGGAUACACGAAUUGGAGGAAACAGGCACAGUGGGGUGCUUCAGACGUGUCCAUGCAUCAUGAGGUGAAAUACUUUUGCUGGCUUUGAAGUGGAGGGAAGGAUUAGAAUCAUAAUAAUUCCACGACACAGCUCAUGACCAGAAGCUGAGACAGAGAAAAGGAUCUCUGAAGAUGAACCUGGACCGGAAGACUCCACAUCUUGGCAUUACUUAGGAAUAAAACAUGACUUUGUUAGACAGCUUGAGCUAGACCAGAGUUGAUGCAUUUCCAUUUAAGCGUUAACACUGUAUUGCCCUUUCCAGAGCUCUUCAAUACCAAAUUAAGUAUUUUGUUCUGUAAAUAAAUGUAUUUAGGCAACACCUUUUCCUUCUUUAUUUGGGUUGUUGGAGGUAUAGAUUGUAAUUUGUGAAACAGGUUUGUGUUGUUUUUGUUAUUGUAAACAAAUGCAAUAUUAGUCAACAUAAUACAAUUGUUGGCUUUAAAUGUGUGUAGUGUCAAUGCAUCAAGUACAGUAUGCCUAUGACUUAAAUGUUGUAAUUUGAUUGAAAGAGGUAUGAAUUUAAAUAUUGUCUCCUUUUAAAGACCUCAUCAUGAAUCCACAUGGCGUAUAUGAUACUGCUCUACAUGUGAACAUUUAAUUGAUCAUUUUUAGAACUGGCGCAUAUGAUACUGGCGUAUAUGGCGUAUAUGAUACUGCUCUACAUGUGAACAUUUAAUUGAUUAUUUUUAGAACUGUUUAUACGUUUAAUUAAAGAUGCACUAUGCAGAAAUCGCUCCGCCAUUUCCUAGUUGCUAAAAUUUUAAUAGUUCGCCUAAUUUCAGAUUAUGUAACAAAACAAGCAAAAAUAGUGUAGAGAAUCAUUGUACCAUCUAAACCGCUGUGAAAUAUCUUUUCAAUAAUCAAAAAUAAUGUAUUUUCAGCUAUUUGAACCUGGUAUAUAAAACUGAAAGCAAAAAACGCAAAAAAAAAAAACUGGGAUGCAUAGAAAUAGCGCACAUAGAACAGAUCUACCGCUUCUUAGACUUGCUUUCAAUGAGAAUGUCCUAUUCCCCCCCAGGAGACUGAAAAGAUUUGGCAUGGUUCCUCAGAUCCUCAAAAGGUUCUACCGCUGCACCAGAGCAUCCUGACAGGUUGCAUCGUUGCCUGGUAUGGCAACUGCUCGGCCUCCGACUGCAAGCCACUACAGAGGGUAGUGCAUACAGCCCAGUACAUCACUAGGGCCAAGCUUCCUGCCAUCCAGGACCUCUAUACCAGGCGGUGUCAGAAGAAGGCCCUAAAAAUUGUUAGACUCCAGCCACCCUAGUCAUAGACUGUUCUCUCUGCUACCGCACGGCAAGCGUUACUGGAGCGCCAAGUCUAUGUCCAAAGGGCUUCUAAACAGCUUCUACC